AGCCAUCCGGACGUGUAGUCCAAACACCAAAAUCAACCCUCACCUCGCCGUGUAUAUACGUUGUUAGGGUUUCCAUUCUACACAAACGAAGCAAUUGUAUUAAUCGAAUACAACGCGACAUUAAUAUCGAUUAUUAAUACAUACAUUGUACUUUAAAUUUUAAAAAUGAAGUCUUAAUUUAAUUAAUUUUUUGAAUUAUCUUUGAAGUUGGUUAAAAUACUUUUCUCUUAUUGUAUACCUAUAUUGUAUAUUGCAUUUAUUUUUCAAGUUCAGCAAGUAGACUAAAAUUUGUUUUUGACGUUAAAACAUUUUAAAUAUUAGUGAUAUUGACUUCUAUCCAUAAAAAAUGACACACACUAUCAACAUAUAUGCCUCAUCGACAAAUAAAGGAGACAUCCUCUUUCUAGACUUAAUUACUGUCAUACGAAGUGCAAUUCUUUGCGGCGACAACUCUGCACGUAAAGAUAUCCAAGCAGUGGAAUGAAGUGCUUGAAGCUGAGCAUCCAUUGUUAAGGGAACGUUCUUUCAAUAGUGUGAAGAGACCCAACAUCACUUUGCAUCCUUAUAAAGCUUUGUCAAGCGUUAGCCGUGUUUGUGGCCAGCGUUUAGAGUUCAGAAAACAGGGAAUAGGAUAGGAGCGUAGUCGACGAAUUGCUCGACAUGUCACCUUAUGAUUCUCUUCCGUCUGCGUUAGAAUUAUUGUUUUGUGUGC